GGAAGUAAAAGUCAUAACAAGGUCUCCGUUGGUGAACCAGCGGAGGGAUCAUUACAGAGUUGCAAAACUCCCAAACCAUUGUGAACGUUACCUAUCCCGUUGCUUCGGCGGGCGGCCCGGGCCCCGCGCCCGGCGCCCCCCGGCCCCCCGUGGGCGCCCGCCGGAGGUAAACCAAACCCUUGAAUUGCAUGGCCUCUCUGAGUCUUCUGUACCGAAUAAGUCAAAACUUUCAACAACGGAUCUCUUGGUUCUG
rnacentral:misc_RNA from 1 species